UCACAAGUGUAAUGACGUGUGUAAUCUCUUAAUGUCAGUCUCUGGCUGCAGCGUAAGCUGUAAGGGUUCGUCGUAAGGGUUCGUGCGGAGCCUGUCUUGUUCACAGCGCCUGGCUUAGUGCUGUCCCCAGGAAAUACUUCUUGACUGAAGAAUGAAUGAAUGAGUAUCUCUCUGCCCCGUCACGUGUUAAGUGUCUGGGGAGGACACGAGAGUGAAAACGCUUGCGUUUAGGGAGGAUGUCAUUACAAUCGGCAUGAGUGACUGAUUUUUGAAAAAUGAAUUGUCAGUGCAUACCAUGUACAGUACUUGUUGAAUGUAAGGUUGCAGUUUGGGAGAGAGGCGUGGCCUGGCUGGCUGAGUCCUUUGAGGUGGCGCUUGAGCUGGGGAGGGAGUGGGGGAUGGAAAGUGUGGUGUCUCUGGCUUUUUCCAGCCGGGAGACUGGCAUCUGUGUGGACAGAGGAAUCACCUGACAGAAAAGGCCUUUCAGAUGUUGCCUUGAAGGUAGUGAAACAAAUACUGUUCAGUCUCACCCUGCUGGGCUGUGCUGGGAGUCCAGUAUGUUCCUCCUGCUGUAUGAUCUGUGUAUUAGUUUGCUUGCGCACCCAUAGCAAAAUACAACAGACUGUAAGGAUUAAACAACAGAAGGUUCUUUUCUUUUGGUUCUGGAAGCUGGAAGUUAAAGAGCAUGGUGUCAGCCGUUUUGGUGUCUUCUGAGAUCUUACGUGGCUUUUUCUUUGUGGGUGAACAUCCCCAGUGUCUUUUCUUACAGUGAGACCAGAUAUAUUGGUAUAGGAUCUCACUCGUUUGACCUCGUCAUUUAACUUUUAAAAAAAAAUUAUUUUUAUUUAUUUUUUGUCAUUUAACCUGAAUUAGUCCUCCUUAAAGGCCCUGCCUUCAUAUACAGUCAUAGUCUCGUUAGGAGCGUGUGUGUGUGUGUGUGUGUGUGUGUGUGUGUGUGUGUGUGAGAGAGAGUGAUGUGUCUGGGGUGUUUAGAAAGGAGGCAAAUACAGUUGUAAUAGGUUAUAUUAAAUUUUUGUUUCACUUUAUCCUGGAUUUAAGGUCCUUGCUGUAUUACAUAAAUUGGCACCAUAAUUUGAACCCCAGAGUGCUCAUGGUUCACUUUUCCCGCAGAUGUUCAGCAGCCUGCAAGCCUGGUAAUGGGGCAGCCACAGAGAUCUCCAAGCUGACAAGAGAAAUCCGUGGUGCAAAUAGUUAUGGGCAACUUGGCCUUGGCCAUAAGGAAGAUGUGCUUUUGCCCCAGCAACUGACUGACUUCUGUGAACCUAGGUGUGUCAGGAAGAUUUCAGGGGGAGGAGGACAUUCUAUAAUUGUCACAGAUGGAGGAGGCCUUUUUGUUUGUGGCCUGAACAAAGAUGGACAGUUGGGGCUUGGUCACACAGAGGACGUUCUGUGUUUUACCUUCUGCAAAUCCCUUCGUGGCUGUCCCAUCCAGCAGGUGGCCUGUGGCUGGGAUUUCACCAUUAUGCUCACAGAAAAUGGUCAAGUUCUAUCAUGUGGAUCCAACUCCUUUGGCCAGUUAGGUGUUCCUCCUGGGCCUCGAAGGUGUGUGGCUCCCCAGGCCAUUGAGAUUCUGAGAGAGAAGGUUAUUUGUGUUGCUGCUGGACUGAGGCAUGCAUUAGCUGCUACAGUGAGUGGCAUUGUGUUCCAGUGGGGGACUGGUUUGGCAUCAUCUGGACGACGGUUAUGUCCUGAGCAGACUCUCCCGUUGUUUUUGACAGCAGAGGAACCAAGCAGAGUUACGGGCCUAGAGAAUUCUAAAGCAAUAUGUGUUCUUGCCGGCUCAGCCCACUCGGCUUCAUUAACAGAUGCAGGAGAGCUGUAUGUUUGGGGCAGUAAUAAGCACGGGCAACUGGCUAUGCAGGCUGCUUUCCUUCUCAUGCCCCAGAAAAUAGAAGCGCAUUGUUUUCAGAGUGAAAAGGUCACAGCCGCCUGGAGUGGGUGGACCCACCUGGUUGCUCAGACAGAAACUGGCAAGGUGUUUACUUGGGGCCGAGCAGACUACGGUCAACUAGGGAGGAAGAUGGAGACUCAAGAAGGGUGGAAGCUAGAAAAGCAGGAUUCAUCCCGCCCCUGUGCAAGACCACGGAACAGCACACCUUCAUCUCUGCCUUGCCUGAUGGGAGCUGUGGAGGUGGGGCGUGUUACUCCUGGGGCUGGAAUGAGCACGGCAUGUGUGGGGAUGGCACUGAAGCCACCGUCUGGACCCCGAAGCCUGUGCAAGUCCUGCGGUCAGCACCAGCGCUGCUUGUGGGCUGUGGGGCUGGCCACUCCCUCGCCCUGUGUCAGCUGCCAGGACAACCUGCCCUGGGCGAGGAUCUCAAUGUCACAUACCAUCCCUCUGCCGCUGAGGACACCGAAUCUCAGGAAGCGUUGGACAAAGAGAAACUGGAAGGAAAGACAGAAAUUUCAACCCAAAGCCAUCCUGACAAAUCCAGAAGCGAGGGACUGUGAUAGAGAACCUUUAAUAAAGUGGCUUUUCCCACCAGAAGUUUUCCUAGAGGCUCGCUGUGUUGGGCUGUGAGGUUGGCCUGAGCCAACAAACCAGAACCAUGGGCAGCUGCUCCCCUCAUGUCCACGCGCAAGGAGGCACCCUUUUCUACUCAAUGAGGCGAAGAGGGUUAGGUCUGCACCACAGGGAACGGAAAGCUAGAACCCCGACAGGAAGCCUCCAGCCUUGCCCUGACUGGCAGAGACAGAAAACCCAGCCCCAGUCCCGUGGUUGCUUCAGUUCAGCAGCCUUUGGUUUGCAAAACAGGGCUCUAGCAGCCCCAAGCCUAUCCUUAGGUUUUCUUCUCAGGACCCAGAGCUGGCAGCUUGUGUGUUCAGGAGAAGGAAGAAAGGGAACAGAAGAAAGGCGCAGCCUCCAGUGUGACUUCCUAGGCCUUUGGCCUGGCCCCUGGAGUGACUGUUGAAGGACCAGCUUGUCCUGGAUGUUGAUGGAACGUUUCUAUCUUGCCUACCCUCCUGACCACAGAUACCCCAUCUGCCCUUCACACCUCCUACCCACAGCCCCUGGAGCUGAGGGCCAUCCAACCAAACUUAGAUGACAUGCUCCCAUGACCCCGAAAACCAGAUGCCAGAUGGCUUUGUGUUACUCAUCAGAGGCUCUUCUUCGCCAUGAAUCCCUGGGUAGCAUAAACGUUACCCUCCCUGCAGCAGCCAAGGCCGCUUAGCUUGCACAUCCUGAGACUAAGGAAUGGUUGUUACAGCCUGGAGGCCAUAUAACCCUGGGCAGAGGCUCCACCAACCCCAACCUCUUGGUCCUUGGACUUCACAGGACACCAGGAAGUUAAGGCAAAUGCUUAGAAAGGCUGGCAGAUGAAAAUUCAGCACACACCUUAAACCUCCCACCCAUCCAUGGGAUCGUUGAUUCAGGCCAUGCUGGGAGGUAUAAGGGAACUGAAAUCAGAGCAAGAUUGACACCCACUUCUUUUCAGCCCUGGGCAGAUAACGCCCCUCCCUGGGUCUCAUUUCUUCAUCUAUAAAAUGCUCAGAGGUUGACUACUAUGACCUUCAGGGACUCUUUCUACUGAACAUUCCUGGGACUUCCGAUGGAUAAGAAAAGGACUGACUCCUCCAUUCUGCCCCUUCACCAAAACCAAGUGAACAACAUGAGCAAGGCCAGAUCCCUAGGAGAGGACUGUACUUUCAAGAUGCCUGCAGGCUGAGAAAGGAGUAUUCAGUGAGGUGGUCUACCAGGCUGGACCUGCAGGGGUACAGCUGUCUGGGGGACCCAGAACUGGCAGGUAGACCUCUGCCUCUGGCUCCAUCGGAUUCCACAGUAGCCCUAGCAGGGAGAUGACCAUGGUCUGCAUAGGGGGACUGGACACUUUGACGUGGCCACAUUCAAAGAUUCAUCAAUGUAGCCUGAUGCACAGAGAAAUGUCCAUGCCAAGUGGACCCCUUUGGACCCCCUGUGCUGUCAGCGAGAUGCCUCCCUCCCUCAGUCCAACAGGAUGUGCAAUGCAACGGGCCAUGCUUCCCAACCAACCUGGAGGGGCCAGCUUCCUCCUUAGGGCCUGGCUGUCCCCCAUGGGGUUGGCAGGAGUGGUAGCCAUAGCCAGGGCUUACCCUAGCCCAGCCACAACGGACCAGAAGCCCAAGAGAAUCGCGACACUGCCUGGAGGCAAUAAAAACCCAAAUCCGUGCUUCAUCUCAAAAGUCAGCUUUUUAUUUCUGGGGCCAGGGCCCAGGGAGGGGAGAUUGUUGAGCUAAAGCAUCAUUGCUCUCUUUCCAGGAAAUGUUGUGAGCUGCAGUGAAAGCUCGAGAUGUUGCAUUUCUUUUCAACCCAAGCAUGUGUUUUUCAAAAAUACCAUCCUUCCCCCCCCCCCAACUAAUUUUAGAAUCAGACCAAAGCCAAGCUACUGUCCUCUGUUUCUGUUGGGAAAAUACUAUAUUUAUUCGAGAUGCAGAAGCGUGUCUCUGCAAACCUCCGAUUGCUUCAGGAAAACAAAUCUGCUUUAGACUAUACAGAAACCAUGAUACAAAAUUUAUUUCAUGCUCAAAUCGCUUUGCAUAACAUUGGGCAUGCAGUUUUUAACUCUGAAGUACUAAAUUGCAUACAGUGCCAGGUUGUGCCUUGGUAAAAGUGGAGGAGGGCGCCCCUCCUGUGGUCCUGAACUUUUGGUGCUCUACAUCCUGGUUUUAAAAGAACACUUGGAAAAUCCAUAUGGUGCUGAUUAUUUGCUAUGAACAAUUUGUUAUGAAAGUUAGUCACACUGGAUCUACACACCAGUAAGAUGAGAGAAUCAACCUAGACUAGCCGCUGUCAGGGUCUUGGGGAGACGUCUGCUGGGUCACAAGCAUGCCAAAUGGAAGACGGCAGUGCGAUUUUCCACAAUUCUAUGUGAAGCAAAGUUUUCGGUUUCCGCAUGAGAGAUGAACUAUGAAGGUGAGGUCAAUAUGACCGAUGACUGACCGACUGCCCUUUUCGGAACCUUUGAUUUCCAUCUUGUGUACAAACGGAAGCAGUCCUUUCCCAUCCCCGUCUCUCCUCCCAGCCCACCCCACCCCCACGUCCAGAAAUGUACAGGUUUCUACCGAUCCCUGUUACAGCUGGGCUCCACCAGUGUGUAUAAAAGUAAAAAGUUCUGAAAGAAAA